rnacentral:rRNA from 1 species
AGACAGUUCGGUCCCUAUCUGUUGUGGGCGUAGGAAGUUUGAGGGGGUCUGACCUUAGUACGAGAGGACCGGGUUGGACGCACCGCUAGUGUACCGGUUGUGGCGCCAGCUGCAUCGCCGGGUAGCUAUGUGCGGUUUAGAUAAGCGCUGAAAGCAUCUAAGCGCGAAGCUAGCCCCAAGAUGAGACUUCCCUUGAGGGUCGUGGGAGACUACCACGUCGAUAGGCUGUAGGUGUAAAGGCAGUAAUGUCAAAGCCAAGCAGUACUAAUCACCCGAUAGGCUUCUUAUU